rnacentral:rRNA from 1 species
AUUGAACGCUGGCGGCAGGCCUAACACAUGCAAGUCGAGCGAGCGGCGGACGGGUGAGUAAUGUCUGGGAAACUGCCUGAUGGAGGGGGAUAACUACAGGAAACGGUAGCUAAUACCGAAUACCGUCAGAUGUGACCAGAUGGGAUUAGCUAGUAGGUGGGGUAACGGCUCACCUAGGCGACGAUCCCGAGCUGGUAUGAGAGGAUGACCGGCCACACUGGACCGGUGACACGUUCCAUACUCCUACGGUGGGCAGCAGUGGGGAAUUGUGCACAAUGGGCGCAAGCCUGCUGCAGCCAUUCCGCGUGUGUGAAGAAGGCCUUCGGGUUGUAAAGCACUUUCAGCGGGGAGGCGUUACCCGCAGAAGAAGCACCGGCUAACUCCGUGCCAGCAGCCGCGGUAAUAC